GAUUUUGGUCACCCAAUCUCAGAAGCUAAGCUAAGCAGGGUCGGACCUGGUUAGUACUUGGAUGGGAGACAGCCUUGGAAUACCCGGUGCUGUAGGCU
rnacentral:rRNA from 1 species